rnacentral:rRNA from 1 species
UACAACAUAGUGUUAAUGCACCUGAUCCCAUUAGAAAUCCAUAGUUAAAUGUGAUCAAGCUAGAGUAGUACUGGGAUGGGUGACCUCCCAUGAAGUCCUAGUGUUUUAC